UUACUAAUGAAUAAACCCUUACGAUUAAGACAUCCUUUAAUUAAAAUUAUUAAUAACUCUUUAAUUGACUUACCUGCCCCAACAAAUAUUUCAUUUUGAUGAAAUUUUGGAUCCCUAUUAGGGUUAUGUUUGGUAUUUCAAAUCGUAACUGGACUAUUUUUAGCUAUACAUUAUACAUCAAAUAUUGAAAUAGCAUUCAGUAGUGUAGUACACAUCUGCCGAGACGUAAAUAAUGGUUGAAUUAUCCGAACCUUACACGCAAAUGGAGCAUCUAUAUUUUUUAUUUGUAUUUACUUACAUGUAGGACGGGGAAUUUACUAUGGAUCUUAUAUAUAUAUACAUACCUGAAUAAUUGGUACAGUGAUUUUAUUUUUAGUUAUAGCAACUGCAUUUAUAGGAUAUGUCUUACCCUGAGGCCAAAUAUCUUUUUGAGGUGCAACAGUAAUUACUAAUCUAUUAUCAGCAAUCCCAUACUUAGGAACAGAUUUAGUCCAAUGAGUAUGAGGAGGAUUCGCUGUUGAUAA